rnacentral:rRNA from 1 species
GACUACGGCCAUGCCGCCCUGAACAUGCCCGAUCAUGUCUGAUUUCAGAAGCUAAGCAGGGUCAGGCUUGGUUAGUACUUGGAUGGGAGACCACCUAGGAAGACCAGGUGUUGUGGCGU